rnacentral:tRNA from 1 species
GCACGAGUGCUGGAAUCGGCAGACAGGCAAGCUUGAGGUGCUUGUGUUCUUCGGAGCGUGCGGGUUCAAGUCCCGCCUUGUGCA